ACGGAGGGUGCAAGCGUUAUUCGGAAUAACUGGGCGUAAAGCGCAGGCAGGCGGGUAGACAAGUCUGAUGUGAAAUCCCCGGGCUUAACCUGGGAAGCGCAUUUGAAACUGUUUGACUUGAGUCCUGGAGAGGAAGGGGGAAUUCCAGGUGUAGCGGUGGAAUGCGUAGAGAUCUGGAGGAAUACCGGUGGCGUAGGCGGCCCUCUGGACGGAAACUGACGCUGAGGUGCGAAAGCGUGGGGAGCAAACAG
rnacentral:rRNA from 1 species